rnacentral:lncRNA from 10 species
CAUACAGGUGUGAGCCACUGCACCCAGCCAGGCAGCUUUUUAUUAGACUUUCACUAGGUCCUUGUAGGUGGAACCUUAGUGGUCACAGUGGGCCAGGAGGGUUUGGCUAGUUUUGGCCUUUGUAGCCAUCUUUGAAUUACACUAUUAGUAGAUCAGUCUGGUCUCUAAAAGGAAAAAGACCACAGUCAUUAUUGGAGUUUGACUAUUCCGUUUAAAAUGUAGCUUUUAAGUGAGGUACAUCAUAAAGGAUCUACUGGCUGGGCACGGUGGCUCACGCCUGUAAGCCCAGCACUUUGGGAGGCCGAGACGGGCAGAUCACUUGAGGCCAGGAGUUUGAGACCAGCCUGGGCAACAUGGUGAAACCCCAUCUCUACUAAAAAUACAAAAAUUAGCUGGGCAUGGUGGUACGUGCCUGUAAUCCCAGCUACUCAGGAGGCUGAGGCAGGACAAUCACUUGAACCCGGGAGGCGGAGGUUUCAGUGAGCCAAGAUCACUCCAUUGCAUUCCAGCCUGAGUGACAGAGCAAGACUCUGUUUAAAAAAGACAACGAAAACCGAAAAACAAAGAACAGGUGGAGUCUACUGACUUGCAUGAGUCAGGUAAUUCAUUGACCGGGGCUGGUCAAAAAGAUGGGUUGAUCCUUACUGUGGAAGCUCUCAGCUGCCCUGCAAUACUUUGGAAAUAAACCAGGCAAAACACUGCUCAGUGUGCUGCACUCCAGACACAAACAGGAAGCUGCUCUUUCUCUGCUUCCCUCCCCCACAAUCAGACUCUUGUAACUCUCUUUUCUUCUUUUUCUAAAAUGAAUCUGGGAGUUUCCUUUAGCCCCUGUUUUGUGGUCGCCUCCCAUACACGUUUUAUCUGUCCGUGGCAUUUUCUUUUAUUUAUUGAAAGCACCGUGUCUUAGAUCAAGUCUUGAGAAACAGAACCUGAGACAAACAUGAAUGUGGUUAAUUGAACGAGCGCUGUGCAGGAAAAGCUGUACUGGAGAGAGGCCUGGCCUGGUGUUCAGAACACAAAUGUGAAAAAUCAGACCGGGAAGAUCACGGGAGGCAGGAAGCAUCUGGUUUGCAGGAGUCUCACUCUGUCACCCAGGCUGGAGUGCAGUGGCGUGAUCUCAGCUGACUGCAAUCUCCACCCAAGUUCAAGAGAUUCUUCUGCCUCAGCCUCCCACGUAGCUGGGACUACAGAGCAUACCAUAGCAGCUUGUGCCUGAGACCUCGACAAAUAUCUGGGGGAUAGAUUGGCUUGCAGAGCACAUUCUGCCUAUAGAAAUGAGUUAGCAAGUUUAGUCAGCCAUUGUAGAUUUCAAAGGGUGAGAAGCCUAGCCAGAGGUUAUAAUAUAGCAUGAUAUCCUCCUGGAAAUGGAAUUCUUCACUUGCGAUGCAUUUUAGGAGCCGCUGCUCUGUGUGAGCCACUCUGCUAGGUCCCAGCAUGCAUGAUAUUAUUCUACACAAAGAAUAAUAUCAGAGCUCACAGCCUAUGCAGGAAGUAAGCAAUUAGUUACAGCGUGAUGUGUACUGCAACCCAGGUAAGUACACAGUGUCAUGGAUGCUUCCAGGAGGAAGUCAUAGUCUGACCAGGAAGUUUGGGAAUACUUCUCAUAGGAAGCAACAAGCUACCUGGAAAGAUCUAGAAAGAUGAACAGUACCAGUGUAUUGAUUAGAAAUGCGUUCAGCAGCAAGUCAUAGAACACAUGACUAGUAAGGUUUAAACAAAUAGAAGGUUAUUUUCUCAUAUAAUAAGCCCAGAGGUAGGCACUAAAGGUGGUACAUUGGCUCAGUGGUGUUGGGACUAAGGUUUCUAAAAUUCUCUUGUCCUCUAAGACAUGGCUGCAGGUUGGCUGCAGCAGCUCCAGGCAUCGUGUCCACACUGAAAGGAGAAAGGGGGAGGCCAGCUAUGAUUUCCCCUUUUAUCAGGAAAGCAGAAACCUUCCUGUGGAUUUCUGCUUAUAUCCCACUAGCCAGAACUGGGUCAUGUGGCUAUCCUUAGCAGCAAGGGAGCCAGGAAAGAGAGGAUUUCACUUCUCCAGCUUCUUCUGUAUAUGGGAGGGCAGGUAGGUGAAGGGGGCUAGACUGAAUCCUGUGUGAGCCAACUAGCAGGCAGAACAUUUUGCAUAGAACUGCAUUUGCAAAAACAUGGAGCUGUGAAAGUGUGUGGAACAUUUACAGGCUAUUUAUUUAUUUAUUUAUUUAGAGACAGAUUCUUGCUUUGUCGCCCAGGCUAGAGUGCAGUGACACGAUCUUGGCUCACUGCAACCUCUGCUUCCUGGGUUCAAGCAAUUCUCCUGCCUCAGCAUCCCCAGUAGCUGGGAUUACAGGUGCCUGCCACCAUGCCUGGCUAAUUUUUGUAUUUUUAGUAGAGACGGGGUUUCACCAUGUUGGCCAGGCUGAUCUUGAACUCCUGACCUCAAGUGAUCCACCCGCCUCAGCCUCCCAAAGUGCUGGGAUUACAGGCGUGAGCCACCGCCCCCAGCCUACAAUCAAAAAAUUUAAUAUCAUCAAAUUACAGGGCAUGUGGCAGAGAAGUGUGGGCAGACAAGACACAGAGAAGUGGAGAUGAGACUCUUCAGACCCUUGAAUGACAUGUUGAAGAGCUUGGAAUUUUCUUAUAGAACGUAGGUAAUCAAUAGAGAGGUUUCAUCCGAGGAAUGAUAAAAAUCCAUUUGGGAAACAGAGGCGGUGUGGAGGAUGGGUCAAGAGAGAAUCAGAAGGCAGAUGAUUUACAGCAAUCCAGGCCAGAUAUCAGGAGGGCCUACUCUAAGAUUGCUUUUAGCAUAGCUACUGGGGAAGAGUCGGGCAGGAGAGCCCAGAGGCCCCGCAUGUGAUGGAAACAGCUGCCCAAACUGCAUCUUCAGGUAAAUAUGGCAGACCAUAGUUCCCCCUUCAUAAAGGCCUCUUGGGCGUGUUUCCUGGAAGGAAGAGGUGGGAGAUGUCGCCAUGCUCAGCACAUACGUGAGGUGUUGCAUUAGUCUCCUGGGGCUGCCGUAACAAAGUACCACAAAGCAGAUGGAAACAACAUGCAUUUUUCCCCCCACAGUUCUGGAAGGUGGAAGGCCAGGAUCAGGUGUCAGGAGGGUUGGUUUUUUCUGGGGGUUCUGAGAGAAUCUGAGGGGAAUUCCAUGGCUUUCUCCCAGCUUCUGGUAGUUGCUGGCAAUCCCUGGUGUUCCUGGGCCUGUAGACACGUCACCCCCAUCUCCGCCUCUGUUUUCAUGUGGCAUCCUCCCCGGUGCGUGUCUGUGUGCCCCAACCCCCUUGUCUUAUGAGGCCCACUCUAAUCCAACAGGACCUCGUCUUUACAUAAUCAGAUCUGCUAAGAUCCUGUUUCCAAAUAAGGCCAUGUUCACAGAUACCUAGGGUUAGGACUUGGACAUAUCUUUUGGGGGGACCCGAUUCAACUCACAACAGGUGUUUGAGGGCAGCUCUAGUUGAGAGUGUCAGAGAACCUCUGGCUUAAAGGAGGAACAGGGAGUCUAUCUGCUUGCAAUGUCUGAAGUAGAGUGGAGUGGCUUUACUGUCCUUGGUAGAGAGCAUGUCCUGCUUCAUUCUCAGGAAGGAUCUCACUGUGAGGUGGCUACGAUUACUCUCUGCCCACCCUGGUUGCAUCUGGCUUACAGAAGACAAUCCCAGAAGAAACAGUCUCCCCCAAAGUCCGCAGCAACCCUUCCACUAGGAGUCUACUCCUGCUUACACAAGGCCCAUGCUCACGCCUCACCCCACUGCUGUGUCCAGGGCUUCGUGGUAUCCUGAUGGGCUAGCGUGGGUCACACUCCCACCCUUUGAGCCAUGGGCCCACCUAGUCCAAAUCAUAACAACUGAACAGGAUGAUCACAGGUUGUGGAGAUGAAUCUGCCAAAGUGAUGCUAGGCAGUGCGCUUUCUUUUUUAUUUUUAAAAUAUUUUUUGCAUGUAUGUAUGUAUGUGAGACAGUCUCGCUCUGUCGUCCAGGCUGGAGUGCAGUGGCAAGAUCUCGGCUCACUGCAACCUCUGCCUCCUGGGUUCAAGCAGUUCUCCUGCCUCAGUCCCCCGAGCUGUGAUUACAGGCAUGUGCCACCACACCCGGGUAAUUUUUGUAUUUUUGUUAGAGAUGAGAAUUCACCAUGUUGGCCAUGCUGGUCUCCUGACUUCAAGUGAUCCGCCUGCCUCAGCCUCCCAAAGUGCUGGGAUUACAGGCGUGAGCCACCAUGUGCAGCCAGUAGUGCUCUUUCUUUACCUCUGCCCAAAUGAGGACAAGGAGAUGAAGCGUGGCUGAAAGCAUCAGCCUCUUCCCAGCUGUCCUGAUUGCAUGGGCCGCUUGUCCACUGGACAGGUACUUUUCCUGCCGGGCCUGCUCGUGUGGUUUGGACAGAUGCCCAACUGUCAGGCUCACUCUGUUCUGUUCAGGGAGCUGGCAUUUGCUCCAGUUUCCUCACCUGCCCACAGGGCAGGUGUGUGUCUGUGCGCCCCAACCCCCUUGUCUUAUGAGGCCCACUCUAAUCCAAAAGGACCUCAUCUUUACAUAAUCAGAUCUGCUACGAUACUAUUUCCAAAUAAGGCCAUGUUCACAGAUAUAUGAAUGGUAAGAGCCAGUGGGCCAGGUUGCCCAUGUGAGGGAGCCGGUCUCCGCACCUUGAAUUUCUCUACUGUUCUGGCCUCCGGGGCCAUGACAUUGAGGAUGGCUGGCCACUGGGCAUUGCUCCUUGCACCAUUUUCUCUGGGACUCCCUGAUACAUGUGAGGUUCUUCUUUCUCAGGCCUCUUUGAGGUGCAGGGACCCCCCCGCCCCCAUUGCCUAGUACUCCAAACUGGCCUAGGUCUACCUCUCCCAGCCCAAAUGUCCUGAGGUCCGUGACUGGAUUAUGACUUCAUAAACACCCUUCCCCCACCCUCACCACCACCACUUCCAGCAUCUGAGCUGGAAGACUGCCCGUGUCCUUCCAAUCCACUUCCCUUCCCUGUUGUUCAUCCUCACAUUUCUCUAACCACAGGCCAGCAGAGCUAGAAAAAACCCUAGGACAACUAGUCCAGCAACGGCGAAACAUUCAUUUUAACCUUAGUUCACAUGGUGCAGCCGCUACAGAAAACGGUAUGCGAGUUCCUCAAAAAAUGAAACAUAUGAUCCAGCAGUUUCACUUCUGGGUUUCUGGGUAUAUUCCCAAAAAAACUGAAAGCAGAAACUUAAAUAGCUGUUUGUACACCCACGCUUAUAGCAGCAUUAGUCACAAUAGCCAAAAGGUAGAAGAAGCCCAAGUGUAUAUCAACAGAUGCAUGGAGAAACAAAUGUGUAUACAUACAAUGGGUUAUUAUUCAGCUAUAAAAAAGGAAUGAGGCCAGGAUCAGUGGCUCACACCUGUUAUCCCAGCAUUUUGGGAGGCCAAGGUGGGCGGAUAACCUGAGGUCAGGAGUUCAAUACCGGCCUGGCCAACUUGGUGAAACCCCCGUCUCUACAAAAAUGCAAAAAUUAGCCGGGCAUGAUGGCAGGUACCUGUAAUUCCAGCUACUUGGGAGGCUGAGGCAGAAGAAUUGCUUGAACCACGGAGGCGGAGGUUGCAGUGAGCUGAGAUCGCACCAUUGCACUCCAGCCUGGUUGACAGAGCGAGACUCUGUCUCAAAAAAAAAAAAAAAAGGAAUGAAAUUCAGAUACAUGCUACAACAUGGAUCAACCUUGAAGACAUCAUACUAAGUAAAAUAAGCCAGUCACAAAAGGAUAAGCAGUAUAUGAUUCCACUUAUAUGAGGUACCUAAAGUAGUCUAAUUCAAAGACAGAAAGUAUAAUAGUGAUUACCACGGGUUGGAGGGAAGGAGAAGGGGAGUUAUUGUUUAAUCAUAUAGAGUUUGGGAAGAUGAAAAAGUCCUGGAGAUGGACAGUGGUGAUGGUUGUACAAUAAUGUGGAUGUACUUAAUGCCACUGAACGGCACACUUAAAAUGGUUAACAUGGUAAAUUUUAUGUUAUGCAUAUUUUACAACAAUAAAC